CCUGGCGGCCGUAGCGCGGUGGUCCCACCUGACCCCAUGCCGAACUCAGAAGUGAAACGCCGUAGCGCCGAUGGUAGUGUGGGGUCUCCCCAUGCGA
rnacentral:rRNA from 3 species